AGGACGAACGCUGGCGGCGUGCUUAAUACAUGCAGGUCGAGCGAGAAGCCACCGCUCCGUAAGGAGUGGUGGUGGAAAGCGGCGAACGGGUGAGUAACACGUGGGUAAUGUGCCUUGAACUCUGGGAUAACAGCCGGAAACGGCUGCUAAUACCGGAUAACCCUGCAGCGUCGCAUGACGCAGCAGGCAAAGCUCCGGCGGUUCUAGAUCAGCCCGCGGUGUAUCAGCUUGUUGGUGGGGUAACGGCCUACCAAGGCUUUGACGCAUAGCUGGCGUGAGAGCGCGACCAGCCACACUGGGACUGAGACACGGCCCAGACUUCACGGAAGCAGCAGUAGGAAUCUGCGCAAUGGCGAAAGCCUGACGCAGCGACGCCGCGUGAGGAUGACGGCCGUUCGGUUGUAAACCUCUUUCAGCGAGGACGAAGCCUCGACGGUGACGGUACCUGCAGAAGAACGCCCGGACCAACGUACGUGCCAGCACG
rnacentral:rRNA from 1 species